UACGAAGGGGGCUAGCGUUGCUCGGAAUGACUGGGCGUAAAGGGCGCGUAGGCGGUUUGGUUAGUUAGGCGUGAAAUUCCUGGGCUCAACCUGGGGACUGCGCUUAAUACAGCCAGGCUAGAGUGUGGAAGAGGGUCGUGGAAUUCCCAGUGUAGAGGUGAAAUUCGUAGAUAUUGGGAAGAACACCGGUGGCGAAGGCGGCGACCUGGUCCAUUACUGACGCUGAGGCGCGAAAGCGUGGGGAGCAAAC
rnacentral:rRNA from 1 species